UAUCGGGCAAUGGGCGCAAGCCUGACCCAGCAACGCCCCGUGAAGGAAGAAGGCUUUCGGGCUGUAAACUCCUUUUCUCAGGGACGAAGCAAGUGACGGUACCUGAGGAAUAAGCCACGGCUAACUACGGGCCAGCAGCCGCGGUAAUACGUAGGUGGCAAGCGUUAUCCGGAUUUACUGGGUGUAAAGGGCGUGUAGGCGGGGACGCAAGUCAGAUGUGAAAACCACGGGCUCAACCUGUGACCUGCAUUUGAAACUGUGUGUCUUGAGUACUGGAGAGGCAGACGGAAUUCCUAGUGUAGCGGUGAAAUGCGUAGAUAUUAGGAGGAACACCAGUGGCGAAGGCGGUCUGCUGGACAGCAACUGACGCUGAGGCGCGAAAGCGUGGGGAGCAAA
rnacentral:rRNA from 1 species